rnacentral:rRNA from 1 species
AACGCGAAGAACCUUACCUGGGCUCGAAAUGCAGAGGAAGAUGCCAGAAAUGGCUUCGUCCGCAAGGACUUCUGUAUAGGUGCUGCAUGGCUGUCGUCAGCUCGUGCCGUGAGGUGUUUGGUUAAGUCCAGCAACGAGCGCAACCCUUAUCAUUAGUUGCCAACACGUAAGGUGGGGACUCUAAUGAGACUGCCUAGGUUAACUAGGAGGAAGGCGAGGAUGACGUCAAGUCCGCAUGGCCUUUAUGUCCAGGGCUACACACGUGCUACAAUGGUCGGUACAGAGGGCUGCAAGACCGUAAGGUGGAGCAAAUCCCAGAAAGCCGAUCUCAGUUCAGAUUGUGGACUGCAACUCGUCCACAUGAAGUCGGAAUUGCUAGUAAUGGCGUGUCAGCAAUAACGCCGUGAAUACGUUCCCGGGCCUUGUA